AGGCUAUUUUUCAGUAGUUCAAAAGACCUAAAUUAUCCCAUGGCAAUUAUUUUGUUGUUCAUGUUGACAAGACGUCUUCGGUUACGGAAGACCUCUGUUCUAGGACAGCAAACAAAGGUGUGCAGAUGGAAGGACAAAAUGGAAGAAUAAUGGCUUUAUCUGUCUGAACAUAACAGCGUGUAAAUCUACACUGUGGUGAUGAUUGGGGUCGCAGGUCUGAUUGCAACCCGGAACUCCCUUUUACAGGUCAGUGGUGCACUACCAAGGAAAUGGCCUGGCACCUCUGUCAUAACUUCAAAUAUGAGAACUUGCGAGGAUGAAUUCCUUCCCGCAAGGGAAAUAGUUUGGGUUUGAUAUCCUUUUACCUUCUGCAGAAGCAGCAGACAGCGUGGCCGGACAUUAUUGGAAAUGUUUCAAACGAAACGUGUGCCAAUGAAAGCUUUUCAACAGGAACCAUCUCUGACAAGAUAAUUUGCCCUUGCUCAAAGCCAGCUUUUCCACAAGGGAAGUUAAAAGGAUGCAAUAAUCAUUCACAAAAUAGCUGUCUCAAUUCACUUCAGCGAAUGACACCAACACUCUGUUGUUCCUUCCUGAUUAAUAACUAGUGUUCUCUAAAGGGAGUUUACCAAGAAUUGCCAGCAUCUCAAAGAUAAAGGACAAGCUGGCAGGAGGAAGCAACUGUAUGCAAAUGCUUUGAAUAUAGGGGCAUCAACAUCGCACAUUCAGGCUGUAGUGCGUGUUUGUGCAUGGGCAAAAGCCCUUGUGAGUGGGUUAGAUUCUUGACAUAUCCAAAAGAUAACAGCUUGGCUGUGUGUCCGUAGUCCAACCAUAAGGGCAUGAACCUUGACACUAAAGCCUCUACUGUGCUCCUGGAAUUCCAUGAAUAGCCCAGCUUGCAUGUGGGCCAUCCUCAGCAUAACACACAGACCCACACACACAGACACACACACACACACUCUCCCUCUCGCACACAAGAAGCAAGCUCUUCAAAUUCCUCACCACCACUUAGAAGAACUCCACACGCGCAAUAACAAACGCAAAACACAGGCCUUCAGUUAAUCUUAUCUGGCCUAUUUGGUCAGGGAGACAAUGUAUUGAGACAAGCUUGAACAUAACCCAAGCGCAGAUGUUGUCCUCGGCCUGGGAACGGCACUGUGGUAAACAAGCCGCUAUUCCCUUGCCCUUACUCUGCGGGUGACAUGCCUUCUCCCCCUGCACCCUAUAUGGGAAGAGGCUGUGUCCGGAUCUUUCUCACACACAUACAUACACGAGGUGAGGACGCGCGGAAGAGAAUGAAGUUUGCAAUUCAACAUGUCCAAUGAUAAACAGCACAGCUGAGCUAUCAACACAGCAGACAAAACACUAGGAGCUAUGCACAUUUUAAGUCAAGGAUAGGCAAACAUACUUGCCAAACAUGCAAUCUUCUGUCUUCCAGGCCUUGAGGCAGCUGUAUACUCCCACCCCUCUCCCCCCAAACCCCCUCCCAGUAACUGCACAGCGAGGGUUGCCGAGGGCCUACACAUGGAAAGAUUCUUUACCUCACAUACAGUUACCACACACAGAGAAGCAAAACAGCAUCACAAUGUAAACAGACUAAGGACGGAUUGUUGUAGUUGCCAGCAUUAGCUUCAGUUUUAUGACUAAUGGAAUGUCCAGUAAAUAAAGAACUUUGCAAGAUAUCCACUGCUAUCAAUAGGGAAAAGCAAAAAACAUGGAUUGGAGACAUUACAAAUUGAUUGCGAUGUGAGAUUCUUGUGCUGAAAGUGUAAGACUUAACAUCCCACCGUAGGGAUUUAUCAAGCUCGAGGGGAGCUUACGUGCUUUGACCCUGUCCGGUAAACAACCAUGAAAGAGAAUGUAAUAUCUGGUAAGAUUCUGUUCAACAACGACCACAAACAAGCGCACUGAUCAGCUAAUGCGAACACCCAGAUGGCUCAUUUCUCCAAUGCUUUGCUCUGAUGAUCUUUUAGUGGACAGUCUGUGUACGUCCAACCAUGAAAGGUCACAUAGCAGUCUAAUCUUGCUUACUGUACGUACUGUACACACCGCCGCCGACUUGAGCUUCCAAAGAAGCUCGGGUCACCCUGUCAAGGACGUUUGUCAAAAAAGUACAGGGAAGCUUUGGACGCUUUGGCCGCUCUGACGUGGCAGCAUUCUACAUUCAAUCACCUUCUAUCUUAGGCCAACUAAGUUACUUUAUUUAAAGGCCGUCUAUUCCGAUUGGUUGCUGGUCGUUGGUCGCUGAACCGCGUCAUAGCUCAUUACCAUAAAGUUGACCAACGUUCAACUUUCUGCUUGACGCUCAAGACGGCCAAAAUGCGAUGCUGACGGAUUUGCCGCUUCUUGCAGCUGAGAGAAGCCGGCCUCCAUUGAAAA